rnacentral:rRNA from 1 species
UACGUAGGGUGCAAGCGUUAAUCGGAAUUACUGGGCGUAAAGCGUGCGCAGGCGGCUUUGCAAGACAGAUGUGAAAUCCCCGGGCUUAACCUGGGAACUGCAUCGGAAACUGAUCGGCUUGAAGAUGGGAGAGGGUAGUGGAAUUCCCGGUGUAGUGGUGAAAUGCGUAGAUAUCGGGAGGAACACCAGUGGCGAAGGCGACUACCUGGCCCAUUCUUGACGCUGAGGCGCGAAAGCUAGGGGAGCGAACGGG